GACUUUGUCGUGCCAUUUUCUCAUUGGAGAAAAAACGUCCGUUCAACUAGUGUUUACAAAAUGAUGAUGGACACACGUAAGUAGUAUCUGUUGUCUAUUUCCAUCACCAACACCUACAGUGACAUCUUUGGGGACAGGGAUAAUGAAGUUCUGGUGAUGACGGAAAGGUGUGUUUGUCAAGAGGUGAUGACCUUUCACUAGAAAGAAGGGAAGUGACUGAACAGAAAGGUAACCAUCUGGCCACAUUGGAUUUAGGUAGCAUUAAUGUAAGUGUUCUUUCAACAGUAGACAUCCCAUCACUUCACGUAAGCAAGCCUGGGACGUCUACCAGACACCCAGCCCUGCUUUUUUGUUCUAGCACCAAGAACAUUAGAACUAGUAUUUCUUUACCUGGAGACAGGUAAGUGCCAUCCAAGGUGGGUGUUUAUCAUGGCAAUCGCAACGUUUAAACCAGGUUCAGGGGAAAACAAGACAACUAUUCUGACCUCCACGGAGAAGCUGUCUGUCCUGCAGAUAGUCCACAGCAGAUUUCUCUGCCUGCUCCUGAAAUUCAACAAAAUUUAAAAUUUCACUUCUUUGGAAAUUUGUAUGCAAUGGCUGCAAAUAAAAAAGCAGGUCUAGACCAUUUAACCCAAAGCCUGUCGCACCUUCA